UACGAAGGGGGCUAGCGUUGUUCGGAAUUACUGGGCGUAAAGCGCGCGCAGGCGGUUCUUCAAGUCAGAGGUGAAAGCCCAGAGCUCAACUCUGGAAUGGCCUUUGAGACUAGAGAACUAGGGUACGGGAGAGGUGAGUGGAAUUCCGAGUGUAGAGGUGAUAUUCGUAGAUAUUCGGAAGAACACCAGUGGCGAAGGCGACUCUUUGGCCUGUAACUGACGCUGAGGCGCGAAAGCGUGGGGAGCAAACAGG
rnacentral:rRNA from 1 species